UACGUAGGGUGCGAGCGUUAAUCGGAAUUACUGGGCGUAAAGCGUGCGCAGGCGGUUCGUCGUGUCCGAUGUGAAAGCCCCGGGCUCAACCUGGGAAUGGCAUUGGAAACUGGCGGACUCGAGUGUGGCAGAGGGGGGUGGAAUUCCGCGUGUAGCAGUGAAAUGCGUAGAGAUGCGGAGGAACACCGAUGGCGAAGGCAGCCCCCUGGGUCAAAACUGACGCUCAUGCACGAAAGCGUGGGGAGCAAACAGG
rnacentral:rRNA from 1 species